rnacentral:rRNA from 1 species
CCUACGGGUGGCAGCAGUGGGGAAUAUUUGGCAAUGGGCGCAAGCCUGACCCAGCAACGCCGCGUGAAGGAAGAAGGCUUUCGGGUUGUAAACUUCUUUUCUCAGGGACGAAGAAAGUGACGGUACCUGAUGAAUAAGCCACGGCUAACUACGUGCCAGCCGACGCGGUAAUACGUAGGUGGCAAGCGUUAUCCGGAUUUAUUGGGUGUAAAGGGCGUGUAGGCGGGAGCGCAAGUCAGAUGUGAAAACUCAGGGCUCAACCCUGAGCCUGCAUUUUAGACUGUGUUUCUUGAGUGCUUGUGAGGCAAUGGGAAUUCCGUGUGUAGCGGUGAAAUGCGGAGAUAUACGGAGGAACACCAGUGGCGAAGGCGGAUUGCUGGACAGUAACUGACGCUGAGGCGCGAAAGCGUGGGGAGCAAACAGGAUUAGAUACCCCAGUAGUC